GCCAAGCUUGCUUGGUGGAUCAGUGGCGAACGGGUGAGUAACACGUGAGCAACCUGCCCUGGACUCUGGGAUAAGCGCUGGAAACGGCGUCUAAUACUGGAUAUGAGACGUGAUCGCAUGGUCGUGUUUGGAAAGAUUUUUCGGUCUGGGAUGGGCUCGCGGCCUAUCAGCUUGUUGGUGAGGUAAUGGCUCACCAAGGCGUCGACGGGUAGCCGGCCUGAGAGGGUGACCGGCCACACUGGGACUGAGACACGGCCCAGACUCCUACGGGAGGCAGCAGUGGGGAAUAUUGCACAAUGGGCGAAAGCCUGAUGCAGCAACGCCGCGUGAGGGAUGACGGCCUUCGGGUUGUAAACCUCUUUUAGCAGGGAAGAAGCGAGAGUGACGGUACCUGCAGAAAAAGCGCCGGCUAACUACGUGCCAGCAGCCGCGGUAAUACGUAGGGCGCAAGCGUUAUCCGGAAUUAUUGGGCGUAAAGAGCUCGUAGGCGGUUUGUCGCGUCUGCUGUGAAAUCCCGAGGCUCAACCUCGGGCCUGCAGUGGGUACGGGCAGACUA
rnacentral:rRNA from 1 species